UACGGAGGGUGCGAGCGUUGUCCGGAAUCACUGGGCGUAAAGGGCGCGUAGGUGGCGCGGGCAGUCAACGGUGAAAGUUCGGGGCUCAACCCUGAAUCGGCCGUCGAUACUCCCGGGCUUGAGCACUGUAGAGGCAGAUGGAAUUCCGGGUGUAGCGGUGGAAUGCGUAGAGAUCCGGAAGAACACCGGUGGCGAAGGCGGUCUGCUGGGCAGUAGCUGACACUGAGGCGCGACAGCGUGGGAGCAAACAGG
rnacentral:rRNA from 1 species